rnacentral:tRNA from 1 species
UAGGAUGUAGCUCAGUGGUAAAGCACUUACCUAUCAAGUGCAGCAUCCUGGGUUCGAUCCCCAGUAUCAAAA